GUCCGUCUUCCGUCUCAUAGGGAAGUGUUAGAGAUGGAUAAUGUUUCUGUGUAGCAGAAGUAGUCAUUAUGUCCCCUUAAAUUCGGUCACUUUGACUGCAGUAGAGCUUCUUAGUGAGCAGUCUGUGAUGGAGUAUACUUUCGGAGAAGCUCAUGGUGGGGGAAAUCUGGAAUUUAUCUAAAUAUUUCAUUUCUUUGAUAAAUUACAUUAAAAAAUUAAUGA
rnacentral:lncRNA from 1 species